rnacentral:rRNA from 1 species
GGAAUAUUGCACAAUGGGCGGAAGCCUGAUGCAGCAACGCCGCGUGCGGGAUGACGGCCUUCGGGUUGUAAACCGCUUUCGCCUGUGACGAAGCGUGAGUGACGGUAAUGGGUAAAGAAGCACCGGCUAACUACGUGCCAGCAGCCGCGGUGAUACGUAGGGUGCGAGCGUUGUCCGGAUUUAUUGGGCGUAAAGGGCUCGUAGGUGGUUGAUCGCGUCGGAAGUGUAAUCUUGGGGCUUAACCCUGAGCGUGCUUUCGAUACGGGUUGACUUGAGGAAGGUAGGGGAGAAUGGAAUUCCUGGUGGAGCGGUGGAAUGCGCAGAUAUCAGGAGGAACACCAGUGGCG